UACAGAGGGUGCGAGCGUUGUUCGGAAUUAUUGGGCGUAAAGGGCGCGUAGGCGGCUUGGCAAGUGGAAGGUGAAAUCCCUCGGCUUAACCGAGGAACUGCCCUCCAAACUGCUUUGCUUGAGGCCGGGAGAGGUAAGUGGAAUUCCCAGUGUAGCGGUGAAAUGCGUAGAUAUUGGGAGGAACACCAGUGGCGAAGGCGGCUUACUGGACCGGUUCUGACGCUGAGGCGCGAAAGCGUGGGGAGCGAACAGG
rnacentral:rRNA from 1 species